GAAGAGUUUGAUCAUGGCUCAGAUUGAACGCUGGCGGCAGGCCUAACACAUGCAAGUCGAGCGAGAAAGGUCUUCGGACUGAGUACAGCGGCGGACGGGUGAGUAACGCGUAGGAAUCUACCCAGUAGUGGGGGAUAGCCCGGGGAAACUCGGAUUAAUACCGCAUACGCCCCACGGGGGAAAGCAGGGGAUCUUCGGACCUUGCGCUAAUAGAUGAGCCUAAGUCAGAUUAGCUAGUUGGUGGGGUAAAGGCCUACCAAGGCGACGAUCUGUAGCGGGUCUGAGAGGAUGAUCCGCCACACUGGGACUGAGACACGGCCCAGACUCCUACGGGAGGCAGCAGUGGGGAAUCUUGGACAAUGGGCGCAAGCCUGAUCCAGCAAUGCCGCGUGGGUGAAGAAGGCCUUCGGGUUGUAAAGCCCUUUCGGCGGGGAAGAAAUCGGUCAGGCGAAUAGUCUGGCCGGAUGACGGUACCCGCAGAAGAAGCACCGGCUAACUACGUGCCAGCAGCCGCGGUAAUACGUAGGGUGCGAGCGUUGU
rnacentral:rRNA from 11 species